rnacentral:tRNA from 1 species
GCUGAGUUCAUCUAGUGGUUAGGAUAGUAGAUUUUCGAUCUAUUCACAGGGAUUCAAAUCCCCUACUCAGUA